rnacentral:lncRNA from 1 species
AUUGCACUCCAGCCUGGGCGACAGGAGCAAGACUUCGCCUCAAAAAAAAAGAAAAAAAAAAAGAACUUCCUGCUGUUGAACCUUUGACUGUCCCGGAGACCCUCCCUCUUCCGUUUUCAAUGUGUCCCUAUCCUCCUAGCUAGGCUUUAAGAAAGAGGAGGGACAGCUGGGGCCCUAGGAGCUCCCCCUGAGGGUCUGUCCCUGGGAACGGGGCGCUAGGACGGGCACUCCUUCUGGCUGGAAUGCUACGCCGGUGAGGGAAAGGAGUCCACUAGGGAAGUACCUGGAGGUGGAGACGGGGAGAGAAAUCACAGAAACUCAGUUUACAAACGACUGCUUGGGAGCAGUCAUGUCACCCAGUCCAGAGGGAGCCGGUCAGCUGCGUUCCGCGAACUUGGGAGGCGACUGCUGGGGUAGCGGCGGGGCCCUCACUGCGCGUCGUCAGGGACCAGACCCUGGGGUGGCCCCGAAGCGUCGAGACUACAACUCCCGGGAUGCCGCGGGCCAGGCUGCAUCCCGCCUGCGCAGAAGUGGUGGCAACUCCGCCCCUCGCCAGGCGGCGGCGCUGCGGACUCAGUCCUAAGCGGGCGAAGGCGGCGAGCGCCGUGGGUCUGGGCGGGCCAGGAGAACCGGGUGCUUCGAGGAGAUCUGCGGGCUGGGUUGGGGGCGUUUGACCCCUUGGCUUGUCCCAGUGGGUAGGCGGGACUCCAACCCCCGCCUCCUCCAGGGUAAAGCUCUCACGUCCACCUGGCGCGACGCUGAGCCAUCUUCAGAAGCACCGCAGCCCUCAGAACCCCACAUCCCGCUGCCGGUGGUUCCCCGCAUCCGGUGUCCGCCCCCGAAGCCUCCCUCCCUCCCUCCUCCGCAUCCCCAGCUACCUGCCCUUAACCGCGACCUGGGCCUCUCCUGGGGAGGCCCAGGGUGGGGUCCUCAGAGGUCCAGGGACCCAGGGGCAUUUGUGGGGUCUGUAGGGGGGUGGGCUUAAGGGAAGGGUGGUCCCUUUCAAAUUGGGACCACCAGGCAGGAAUCAGGCGCACGGGUUCCUCCUCUGUGGCUUCCUGUGGCACUCCAAGUGGGAAGAAGAGAAGCUUGGAAGUGAAA